rnacentral:misc_RNA from 1 species
GAUGAAGAACGCAGCGAAAUGCGAUAAGUAAUGUGAAUUGCAGAAUUCAGUGAAUCAUCGAAUCUUUGAACGCACCUUGCGCCCUUUGGCUAUUCCGAAGGGCAUGCCUGUUUGAGUAUCGUGAACACCUCAACUCUCAUGGUUUGCCAUGAUGAGCUUGGACUUUGGGGGUUUUGCUGGCCUUUGGUCGGCUCCUCUCAAACGGAUCAGCUUUCCAGUGUUUGGUGGCGUCACGGGUGUGAUAAUUAUCUACGCCUGUGGUUUUCUGCCAGAUAACCUUCAGCGAUGGAGGUUCGCUGGGGCUCAUAAAUGUCUCUCUUCAGUGGAGACAGCUUUUUGGACGUUUGAUCUCAAAUCAGGUAGGACUACCCGCUGAACUUAAGCAUAUCAAUAAGCGGAGGA